UCAUGGGGACACUGAAGUCAAUAACGAUCACUCGACUUGGCUGAGGACUGGGAACAACUUCGGGACAGAACUUGGAGAAAACCCAAGGUCCUCUUCUCCACUGCCCAAUGGGCAGAGGGCACAGUGGACUGCAGCUUGUUCUGCUUAUUCACUUUGAGGCAUAGAAUAUCUUAUGCGAAUUAUGGGAGAUUCAAGUAGCUGGGCCCCGAGGGA
rnacentral:lncRNA from 1 species